GAUGAACGCUAGCGGCAGGCUUAAUACAUGCAAGUCGAGGGGCAGCGGGGUAGCAAUACCGCCGGCGACCGGCAAACGGGUGCGGAACACGUACAGAACCUCCCUCAAAGUGGUGAAUAGCCUUCCGAAAGGAAGAUUAAUACACCGUAAUAUUACAGAGUGGCAUCACUUUAUAAUUAUAGAUUUAUCGCUUAGAGAUGGCUGUGCGGCUGAUUAGGUAGUUGGCGGGGAAAGGCCCACCAAGCCUGCGAUCAGUAACUGGUGUGAGAGCACGACCAGUCACACGGGCACUGAGACACGGGCCCGACUCCUACGGGAGCAGCAGUAAGGAAUAUUGGGCAAUGGACGAGAGUCUGACCCAGCCAUGCCGCGUGAAGGAUGAAGGUCCUCAGGAUUGUAAACUUCUUUUAUCUGGGACGAAAAGGGAUAUUCUUAUCCACUUGACGGUACCAGAGGAAUAAGCACCGGCUAACUCCGUGCCAGCAGCCGCCGCU
rnacentral:rRNA from 1 species